UUUUCCCAACGCAGUAUGUUGCGGUUCGCUUACCGGUCUUCUCUCACUGAAACCUUUUUCAUACAAAUACACAAACAACACACAGUGAAUGCGGUGCUGGAUUUUUGGUCAUUCUCAUCUCUGAGAAGUAAGCUCUGAAUAUUCUGUAGCUUUAUUGUCCUAUUAGUUAGGAUUUAGGGUUUAACGAUAUGGCCACGUUCGGCGCUGCUUCGACGAACGUAAACCCGAACCGUUCAACUGAGGUGGUACAACCGCCAAGUGAUUCAGUAUCGAGCCUGAGCUUUAGUCCUAAGGCCAAUUUUUUGGUUGCUACUUCGUGGGAUAAUCAGGUAAGAUGUUGGGAGGUAAUGAAAUCAGGAACCAGUGUCAGCACUGUUCCUAAGGCAUCAAUUUCACAUGACCAUCCGGUCUUAUGUUCAACUUGGAAGGAUGAUGGGACAACUGUCUUUUCUGGAGGCUGUGACAAACAAGUUAAAAUGUGGCCAUUAUUAUCUGGUGGCCAACCCGUGACUGUGGCCAUGCAUGAUGCUCCAGUGAAAGAGCUUGCUUGGAUCCCGGAAAUGAAUCUCUUAGUCACAGGAAGCUGGGACAAGACACUUAGGUAUUGGGAUCUGAGACAGCAAAAUCCCACUUGGGUGCAACAGCUUCCCGAACGCUGCUAUGCGCUUACUGUUAGACAUCCUCUUAUGGUUGUUGGCACUGCUGAUAGAAAUCUUAUAGUUUUCAACCUGCAGAACCCUCAGUCGGAGUUUAAGAGAGUCGUGUCACCGCUGAAGUACCAGACUAGGUGCUUAGCUGCUUUCCCUGAUCAGCAAGGCUUCUUAGUUGGCUCAAUUGAAGGGAGAGUCGGUGUACACCAUCUUGAUGAUUCACAAUCAAGUAAAAACUUUACUUUCAAGUGCCACAGAGACGGCAAUGACAUUUACUCCGUGAAUUCACUGAAUUUUCAUCCUAUACAUCACACUUUUGCCACUGCUGGAUCUGAUGGAGCCUUUAACUUUUGGGACAAAGAUAGCAAACAGAGGCUUAAGUUAUUUCAUCAUUCUCUAGGCUAUGCUGAGGUGCAAUCAGCCAAUACCUUGCAGCACUUUCAACAACGAUGGUUCAAUAUUUGCAUAUGCGGUAUGUUAUGAUUGGAGCAAGGGUGCUGAAAAUCAUAAUCCAUCAACAGCAAAGACCUAUAUUUACCUACAUCUGCCCCAGGAGGCUGAGGUGAAAGGCAAACCACGGGCUGGAACAAGCAGCAGAAAGUGAAGCCUUCCCCCCGUUUGCGAGAACAGAAAUUACAAACACUCUGUACGUGAACUUUUUGGUUCUAUUUUUCCCGCAAAAGGUACAACUACAAUUUUGUUUCAGUGCAAGGAGGAGAUCAGGCUUUUGUGUUAUGUUGGAUCACAUUCUUUCAUCUGCUUCCAGUUGUGACGCUUUAGCAAGUUCCCUUUUGGUUGGAGAUAUUUCAUCAAUCAGACUAGGUGGUCUGGAGACAGGCCGGAGUUUUCGUUUUCCAAGUAAUUGAGUGCCUCAUGGUGUUGUAUUGUUAUUGUUACCAUUUUCUUGGUUGUGUUGGGUCACGUAGUGGUGUAAAAUGUAAUGCAGGCAGUAAGACUAUCGUAUCAGGUCUUUGCCAUUAUUCAGGAGUAUGUCCUAUAUAGAUUGGUUGGAUGUCGUUAUGAGUGUGGGUUAGAAGAGGUGUAAAAUGUGAUGCAGGCAGUAAGAUCAUCUUAUCAGAUCUUUGCCAUCAUUCAGAAGAUGUCGAAUGUACUUAUUGAUAAUGCGGGGCUUGUAAAAUUGAAAUGUAAGAUUCAAAUAUGAGAUGAUAUUGAGUUAUUA